AAACUCAAAGGAAUUGACAGGGGCCCGCACAAGCGGUGGAGCACGUGGUUUAAUUCGAUGCAAACCGAAGAACCUUACCAGGCCUUGACAUGCUAGGGAACCCGGGUGAAAGCCUGGGGUGCCCCGCGAGGGGAGCCCUAGCACAGGUGCUGCAUGGCCGUCGUCAGCUCGUGCCGUGAGGUGUUGGGUUAAGUCCCGCAACGAGCGCAACCCCGCCGUUAGUUGCCAGCGGUUCGGCCGGGCACUCUAACGGGACUGCCCGCGAAAGCGGGAGGAAGGAGGGGACGACGUCUGGUCAGCAUGGCCCUUACGGCCUGGGCGACACACGUGCUACAAUGCCCACUACAAAGCGAGGCCACCCGGCAACGGGGAGCUAAUCGCAAAAAGGUGGGCCCAGUUCGGAUUGGGGUCUGCAACCCGACCUCAUGAAGCCGGAAUCGCUAGUAAUCGCGGAUCAGCCAUGCCGCGGUGAAUACGUUCCCGGGCCUU
rnacentral:rRNA from 1 species